GUGUUGCCGGUCACAAAAAGUUUGGUGGUGAAUAUGCGCUGGGGUGUGAAUCUUCCUGCAAAGUUUGGUAAAACGAUGCCUUAUUUGACAGUGAAUAAGAUUGGUAUUGAGAGAAUUGAGGAGGUGAAGGUUGAGGAGGAGAAGAGUUCUGAGGGCAAUGUGGGUGACAUGGAGUUGUUAAAGGGGAUGUGCUUUUGGAUGAAAAGGGAUUUGGAGGUCUUGGAGAAGGAAAAUAGGGAGAUGAAGCAGAGGUUGGAGGAUAUGAAGUUUGGAGUUUCUUCAAAGCGUUUUCAUAGUGAGAAGAAUGAUGUUGUUGGGAAGAGAUUGCUGCCGCCUUCGAGUGAGACUUCUGGGGGGUUCGAACAGUGGAGGAACAAGAAGAAGGUCAGAGAAGAGAAUGCACAAAUGGAACAGAAAAAGCCUACCAAUCAUGCUGUUGAUGUGGAGUCUGAAUUGCAGAGAGCUAUCAAGGCCGCUACCACUUAGCAAGGAGGUGGAGAAGCUAACUAAUCUCAGCUAUGGAGGAAGAGGUAGAACCGUAGAAGCAUAGUAGUUUAUCCUGCAAGAACAAUUUCAAACCAAAUCAAUAUCCAUAUUCUCUUUCUCUACAAAAAGUAAUAUAAAAUUAGUGGGAGAGUGGAAGUUCUAAAGUUCUUAGGAAGAAGUUCUCAAGACUUGGAGGUGCCUUAGUGCUCGGGAAAGCUAAGGAAUGAGACUUUGCUAGCUUUGGAGUCGAGGUAGGAGAGUGAUGGAUUAAUAAUUGAUUAGAAUUAUAUAGGUUAAUAAUCUUUUACUUACAUUGAUAACGUUUAUAUGCCAUGUCUCGAUUCUCGAUUAUUGAUUGAGUGAUUUUCUUUCGCAAUAUUAUGAAUCAUGAAUUUGACACCCGUGAUGAAUAUCGUUGUGAUGAUUUAUGUAGUUAAUUAUUUAAGCUUCCAUA